rfam:TPA: Bos taurus chromosome 13, whole genome shotgun sequence.
UCUCUGGUGGUCCAGUGGCUAAGACUCCUGCUCUAAAUGCAGGGAGCCCAGGUUCGAUCCCUGGUCAGGGAA